rnacentral:rRNA from 1 species
UACGUAGGGGGCAAGCGUUUGUCCGGAAUCAUUGGGCGUAAAGCGCGCGUAGGCGGCUAGAUCAGUCUGCUGUAAAAGUCAAAGGCUCAACCUUUGAAAGCCGGUGGAUACUGUCUAGCUAGAGUCCGGAAGAGGCGAGUGGAAUUCCUGGUGUAGCGGUGGAAUGCGCAGAUAUCAGGAGGAACACCACGGCGAAGGCAGCUCGCUGGGGACGGUACUGACGCUAAGGCGCGAAAGCGUGGGGAGCGAACAGG